rnacentral:rRNA from 1 species
UACGUAGGGGGGCUAGCGUUGUCCGGAUUUAUUGGGCGUAAAGCGCGUGUAGGCGGCCCGGUAAGUCCGCUGUGAAAGUCGGGGGCUCAACCCUCGGAUGCCGGUGGAUACUGUCGGGCUGGAGUGCGGAAGAGGCGAGUGGAAUUCCUGGUGUAGCGGUGAAAUGCGCAGAUAUCAGGAGGAACACCAAUUGCGAAGGCAGCUCGCUGGGACGUUACUGACGCUGAGACGCGAAAGCGUGGGGAGCAAACAGG